AAAAGGAUCUAGGGGAUAUAGACAAUAAUAUAGUCUAAAACCCCAUAAAAAGAAGAAGGAGAAGAAGAAGAACGCCGCGUCAGAAAGGGACUCCUUGGUGACCAUUGUCCACGUUAUUUCUCAUUAUUGGUUCAGAUCUACCACCAACUGAAAGAUACAACAUUUUGAGAUGCAUGAAGAUACUUCUACAACGAACAAAUAUAAGUCAUUACAAUUAAGCUACAAAGAAAAUCAGAAGAAAAGGAACCAGGGGAUAUAGACAGUGUUAUAUUUGAAAACCUAAUGAAAGAAAUUAAAGAAAAUCAGAAGAAAAGGAACCAGAGGAUAUAGACAAUAUUAUAGUCCAAAACCCAAUAAAAGGAGAAGAGGUUUUAUCUACUUUGGCAUCAAAAAGUGGGGGCAGUGCUCCAUGUGACCCUUCCUGGGGGGCCACUGCUUCCCAACCCCCACCCUGGAGAACAAAAAAUCCUCCACAUUUUUGCAGCAGGAGAGAGCAUCGGACAAACUAGGCAUUGGGUGCCUAGUCUGGUCACUGUGGGUAGUGCAAGAAUUCCACACUGUUCGCACUCCUGUAAAACUAGUUAGUAGAUAUCACCUUACAUUACCGGAAAUAUAGUCACUUUGUAUUGUUAUACAGAAGAGUCUUAUUUUAGGUAUAGUAUUUGAUCUUUAUAUUAAAUAUUUGGAUGACACGUAAAUGACUGCCAAUAGUAGUUGGUGCUCCAGCAGAAGAGGACAAACCUGCACCAUGUUUACAUAGGAUAUUGUAAAAAUGAUUUGAGAGGAAAUGGAUUUUUUUUUUCCUUAUCCCCUACAAUCUGGGAGACCAUUUGCUUUUUUUCCAGAGGUCCCUCAUAUUCUGUACUGAAAAGAAAAAACUUUUUUAGGUAAAAAUGAGCCAAAAUACCUUGGAAAUCACUU